rnacentral:rRNA from 1 species
UUCCGUAGGUGAACCUGCGGAAGGAUCAUUAAUGAAACUUCAAAGUCGGCCAAAGGUUGUUGCUGGUGAUUAUUCACAUGUGCACGCCUUUGGUCGCAAAUCCACACACACCUGUGCAUCUAUGACUCAAGGUUGUAAUGACUGAGAGUAACUUUUAUACACUCUUGUAUGUAAUGGAAUGUCUUUUUGUGCUAUAAUGUACAAUAUAAACAACUUUCAACAACGGAUCUCUUGGCUCUCGCAUCGAUGAAGAACGCAGCGAAAUGCGAUAAGUAAUGUGAAUUGCAGAAUUCAGUGAAUCAUCGAAUCUUUGAACGCACCUUGCACCCUUUGGUAUUCCGAAGGGUACGCCCGUUUGAGUGUCAUUGUAAUCUCACUUCUACAACUUUAUUGUUGUUUGAAUGUGGACUUGGAUGUUGCCGUUUUAUCACGGCUCGUCUUAAAUGCCUGAGUGUACCCUGUUUUGCAGCGUAUCCAGUGUAAUAAACAUUUCACUAGAGUUGGUCGAAAGACUGCGUUGACUAUAUGGGCUCUAUGCUUCAAACCGUCUGCCAUGUGGACAAUUUCUUGACAAUUUGACCUCAAAUCGGGUGGGACUACCCGCUGAACUUAAGCAUAUCAAUAAGCGGAGGAAAAGAAACUAACAAGGAUUCCCCUAGUAACGGCGAGUGAAGAGGGAAAAGCUCAAAUUUUAAAUCUGGUGUCUUUGACUCCCGAGUUGUAAUCUAGAGAAGUGUUUUCCGUGUCGGACCGUGUACAAGUUCCCUGGAACGGGGCGUCAUAGAGGGUGAGAAUCCCGUAUAUGCCACGGACUACCGAUGCUCUGUGAUACACUCUCAACGAGUCGAGUUGUUUGGGAAUGCAGCUCAAAAUGGGUGGUAAAUUCCAUCUAAAGCUAAAUAUUGGCGAGAGACCGAUAGCGAACAAGUACCGUGAGGGAAAGAUGAAAAGCACUUUGGAAAGAGAGUGAAACAGUACGUGAAAUUGUUGAAAGGGAAGCGUUUGAAGUCAGUCGCAUCUGUUGGGGUUCAGCCUGGCUUUUGCCUGGUGUAUUUCCUUUCCGAUGGGUCAGCAUCAGUUUCGACCGAGGGAAAAAGACAUUUGGAAUGUGGCUGUCUUCGGGCAGUGUUAUAGCCUUGUGUUGUAUGUCUCGGUUGGGACUGAGGAUUGCAGCGCGCCAUAAAUGGCCGGGGGUCGCUCCUCUCGACACGCGCUUAGGAUGCUGGCAUAAUGGCUUUAAGCGACCCGUCUU